rnacentral:sRNA from 1 species
GGAUGAAUAUAAUGAACGUGAGUAUCAAUACCUCCAGCUGUUACUAUUCUUCCUUCACCUGCUAGUGCUUCUGUGCCAACUCCUAUAACAAAGUCAACAUUAUCCAUUGUAUCUGGAUUUCCGCCUUUACCUAUUGCAAGUAUUUUACCGUCUUUAAUACCUAUAUCAGCUUUAUAUAUACCUGUAUAGUCAACAACAGUUGCUCCUGUAAUUACUAAAUCUGCAACUUUUGGAUUUGCAUUUGUUUGUGUAGCAUUUUGUCCCAUACCGUCUCU